AGUCCGACCACAACGACCGAAUUCAUUAUCUUCAUGUAUAAGUAUACUAGAUUAUCAGUAUAAAAGAUUGAAAAAUCAUCGCAAACCUCUGUUUUUUAUUAUCUUCUGUUUUUUAUUAUCUAUUGCAAUCUCCGGAUUAUUAUCUAAUUUUCAAUCCAUAUAUUUAUAUAAUGAUUUUUCAACCUUCCAUAUUUCUAUAUAGAAAUAGAAAGAGAUAGACUAGAAACGACAUCUCUUAUCUCACUGACACCAAAGAGGGGGAUCUAAAAUGAGUGGAAUUUUGAUAUGGGUG
rnacentral:lncRNA from 1 species